UACGAAGGGGGCUAGCGUUGCUCGGAAUCACUGGGCGUAAAAGCGCACGUAGGCGGGUCGUUAAGUCAGGGGUGAAAUCCCGGAGCUCAACUCCGGAACUGCCUUUGAUACUGGGGAUCUUGAGUCCGGAAGAGGUGAGUGGAACUCCGAGUGUAGAGGUGAAAUUCGUAGAUAUUCGGAAGAACACCAGUGGCGAAGGCGGCUCACUGGUCCGGUACUGACGCUGAGGUGCGAAAGCGUGGGGAGCAAACAGG
rnacentral:rRNA from 1 species